UCUUCAGAUGCCUGCUAAAGUCGGCUUAACAAACACCACGACUACAACCUUUUUUCCUGAGAUUACACACAUUUGAGGAUUUUGUCCUUGAGGCAGUCAUCGCGCUGCUGUUAACUCUCCAGUGAGCGGCCCAACAGAUGCAGCUUCAGGCUCAGCAGCCCUGUCUCCCCAUCCCCAGACCCCUGCCAGUGAACCUGUCUCCAACUGAAGAAAGAGGGGCGCCCGACCAUUGAAGAACAGGGUGAAAGGAAAAGAAC